UGGGGAAUAUUGCACAAUGGGCGAAAGCCUGAUGCAGCAACGCCGCGUGAGUGAUGAAGGUCUUCGGAUUGUAAAGCUCUGUCUUUUGGGACGAUAAUGACGGUACCAAAGGAGGAAGCCACGGCUAACUACGUGCCAGCAGCCGCGGUAAUACGUAGGUGGCGAGCGUUGUCCGGAUUUACUGGGCGUAAAGGGUGCGUAGGCGGAUGUUUAAGUGAGAUGUGAAAUACCCGGGCUUAACUUGGGUGCUGCAUUUCAAACUGGAUAUCUAGAGUGCAGGAGAGGAGAAUGGAAUUCCUAGUGUAGCGGUGAAAUGCGUAGAGAUUAGGAAGAACACCAGUGGCGAAGGCGAUUCUCUGGACUGUAACUGACGCUGAGGCACGAAAGCGUGGGUAGCAAACAGGAUUAGAUACCCUGGUAGUCCACGCCGUAAAACGAUGAGUACUAGGUGUAGGAGGUAUCGACCCCUUCUGUGCCGCAGUAAACACAUUAAGUACUCCGCCUGGGAAGUACGAUCGCAAGAUUAAAACUCUAAAGUGAAUUGACAGGG
rnacentral:rRNA from 1 species